AACGAACGCUGGCGGCAGGCUUAACACAUGCAAGUCGAACGGGUGUAGCAAUACAUCAGUGGCAGACGGGUGAGUAACACGUGGGAACCUUCCUAGAGGUACGGAACAACGCAGGGAAACUUGCGCUAAUACCGUAUACGCUCUUGCGAGGAAAGAUUUAUCGCCUUUAGACGGGCCCGCGUCGGAUUAGCUAGUUGGUAAGGUAACGGCUUACCAAGGCGACGAUCCGUAGCUGAUCUGAGAGGAUGAUCAGCCACACUGGGACUGAGACACGGCCCAGACUCCUACGGGAGGCAGCAGUGGGGAAUCUUGGACAAUGGGCGCAAGCCUGAUCCAGCCAUGCCGCGUGAGUGAAGAAGGCCUUCGGGUUGUAAAGCUCUUUUGUCAGGGACGAUAAUGACGGUACCUGAAGAAUAAGCCCCGGCAAACUUCGUG
rnacentral:rRNA from 2 species